rnacentral:rRNA from 1 species
UACGAGGGGGGCAAGCGUUGUUCGGAAUUAUUGGGCGUAAAGGGCGCGUAGGCGGUGCGGUAAGUCACCUGUGAAACCUCUAGGCUCAACCUAGAGCCUGCAGGCGAAACUGCCGUGCUUGAGGGUGGGAGAGGUGCGUGGAAUUCCUGGUGUAGCGGUGAAAUGCGCAGAUAUCAGGAGGAACACCGGUGGCGAAGGCGGUUCUCUGGGCAUGUUCUGACGCUGAGGAGCGAAAGUGUGGGGAGCGAACAGG